rnacentral:rRNA from 1 species
AUUGAACGCUGGCGGCAGGCCUAACACAUGCAAGUCGAACGAGUGGCGGACGGGUGAGUAAUGUCUGGGAAACUGCCUGAUGGAGGGGGAUAACUACUGGAAACGGUAGCUAAUACCGCCUACCAUCGGAUGUGCCCCGCUGGGAUUAGCUAGACGGUGGGGUAACGGCUCACCUAGGCGAAGAUCCCUAGCUGGUCUGAGCGGAUGACCAGCAACACUGGAAUUGAGACACGGUCCAGACUCCUACGGGAGGCAGCAGUGGGGAAUAUUGCACAAUGGGCGCAAGCCGGAUGCAGCCAUGCCGCGGGUAUGAAGAAGGCCUUCGGGUUGUAAAGUACUUUCAGCGGGGAGGCGUUACCCGCAGAAGAAGCACCGGCUAACUCCGUGCCAGCCGCCGCGGUAAUUC